rnacentral:lncRNA from 1 species
AUAAACAAAAAAAAUUGGAUAACAAAGCGUUUUGAACUCGGUAGUCAUGUUGUGUGAUUUUUCUUUCUCUUUUUCUCAUGCAUCACGUAUACCUGGGGGUUAAUUUCACUCUUUUGACUCUUUUUCUACUCAAAUUUUCCGAGCAUUCUAUAUCUGUUAGAGUCUUAGGUCUCGGCAAGUGCAUUUUUCUCUUUUUUUUUCUUUUCUUUUUUUUU